rnacentral:rRNA from 1 species
CCAGACUCCUACGGGAGGCAGCAGUGGGGAAUAUUGCACAAUGGGCGAAAGCCUGGUGCAGCGACGCCGCGUGAGGGAUGACGGCCUUCGGGUUGUAAACCUCUUUCGCUCAUGGUCAAGCCGCAACUCAAGGUUGUGGUGAGGGUAGUGGGUAAAGAAGCGCCGGCUAACUACGUGCCAGCAGCCGCGGUAAUACGUAGGGCGCGAGCGUUGUCCGGAAUUAUUGGGCGUAAAGGGCUUGUAGGCGGUUGGUCGCGUCUGCCGUGAAAUCCUCUGGCUUAACUGGGGGCGUGCGGUGGGUACGGGCUGACUUGAGUGCGGUAGGGGAGACUGGAACUCCUGGUGUAGCGGUGGAAUGCGCAGAUAUCAGGAAGAACACCGGUGGCGAAGGCGGGUCUCUGGGCCGUUACUGACGCUGAGGAGCGAAAGCGUGGGGAGCGAACAGGAUUAGAUACCCUGGUAGUCCACGCUGUAAACGUUGGGCACUAGGUGUGGGGGCCACCCGUGGUUUCUGCGCCGUAGCUAACGCUUUAAGUGCCCCGCCUGGGGAGUACGGCCGCAAGGCUAAAACUCAAAGGAAUUGACGGGGGCCCGCACAAG